GACGAACCGUGCGAACGCUAUUCGGAAUCAUUGGGCUUAAAGGGCGCGUAGGCGGCGGUGUAAGUUGGAAGUGAAAUCCCAUCGGCUCAACCGUGGAAUUGCUCCCAGUACUGCACUGCUCGAGGGGGAUAGGGGUCUGCGGAACUACCGGUGGAGCGGUGAAAUGUGUUGAUAUCGGUGGGAACGCCAGUGGCGAAAGCGGCAGACUUGACCCUUCCUGACGCUGCAGCGCGAAAGCUAGGGGAGCAAACGGGG
rnacentral:rRNA from 1 species